UACGUAGGUGGCAAGCGUUGUCCGGAUUUACUGGGCGUAAAGAGCGCGCAGGCGGUCGUUCAAGUCGCGUGUGAAAGCCCCCGGCUCAACUGGGGAGGGUCACGCGAUACUGAUCGACUCGAAGGCAGGAGAGGGAAGUGGAAUUCCCGGUGUAGUGGUGAAAUGCGUAGAUAAUCGGGAGGAACACCAGUGGCGAAGGGCGAAGCU
rnacentral:rRNA from 1 species